UUAUAUCUGGGAUGCACGAUAACUCCUGUAUAUUUUUGAACCUACACUUUUAAUACGGGAACCUAAAUCUGUAUAUGGAUGACCGGCCGUCUCAGAACGGACUUCAGAAGUAUACAUGCAGGAUCACCACCUGGCCUUGGCUGGGACUCAAAGGGCAGGAGCCGGCAUCCUGGAUAGUCA
rnacentral:other from 1 species